GUGAUUCCCUGUUGGGUACAGAGCAUGAAAGGAUACCUUGUCAGAACAGAUAUGACUUUGUUUUCUCUAGUUCAGUUGAGUUGACUAUGUUCAGUGUCACCAUGUUUGCCAGUGUACCUACUUUUUUGAAAGAAGUGGUGGCAAAUUGAGUGAUUGAUGUGUAAAAGGAAAAUUAGCAUCUGCAAUCAACAGUUAAACAUGCUGAUAAUAUCUCAUUCCUUGAAAACCAUUGAAUACUAGAGCAAGCAAAAUGAUUAAAAAGCAUCAACUGCUUGUUUUCAUUUAACAAAGGCAAAUAUUGGUUAUGAAACAUGGCGCUAUUAAAUUGCUAUUUGGAGAAAUUAUU
rnacentral:misc_RNA from 1 species